rnacentral:rRNA from 1 species
GCGUCGUCUUCAGAGUUUGAUCCUGGCUCAGGAUGAACGCUAGCGAUAGGCUUAACACAUGCAAGUCGAGGGUAACAUGGGAGUAGCUUGCUACUUCUGAUGACGACCGGCGGAUGGGUGAGUAACGCGUAUGCAACUUGCCUCUUAGUGGGGAAGUAACCCGGAGAAAUCCGGACUAAUACCGCAUACACUUAGUUAUCCGCAUGGAUGAUUAAGGGAAAGAGUUUAUUGCUAAGAGAUAGGCAUGCGUUCCAUUAGUCAGUUGGUGAGGUAACGGCUCACCAAGGCAUCGAUGGAUAGGGGAGCUGAGAGGCUUAUCCCCCACAUUGGGACUGAGACACGGCCCAA